rnacentral:lncRNA from 1 species
AAAUCCCAGCUCUGCUACUUACUACCUUCGUGACCUUGGUCAAGUUAUUUAGCCUCUCUGUGUCCAUCUUUUACAGGCGUGAGCCACUGUGCCCAGCCUCUUGCUGUUCUUUGUAUAAGCUCUUCCCUUCCAUGCCUUCAGGGCUUCCUUGAACUUGAUGCUUGUCCCUUUUCCUUGAAAGCCCUUCUGUUUCUUUUUACAGAGUCAAUUUCUACCCAUUUGUCAACCCACUCAAGAACUACUUUGCCUAUAAAUCUUAGAUUAUAAACUCCAUGAGUACAGGACCUUGAGUUUUCUUUUUUUUUUUUUUUUUCAACUCAGAGUCUUGCUCUAUCACCCAGGCUAGAGUGCAGUGGCAUGAUCUCAGCUUACUGCAGCCUCUGCCUCCUGAGUUCAAGCGAUUCUCCUGCCUCAGCCUCCCAAGUAGCUGGGAUUACAGGUGCCUGCCACCACACCGAACUAAUUUUUGUAUUUUUAGUAGAGAUGGAGUUUCACCAUUUGGCCACCCUGGCCUUGAACUCUUGACCUCAGGUGAUCCACCUGCCUUGGCCUCCCAAAGUGCUGGGAUUACAGGCGUAAGCCACCACACUCUGUCAGGAUCUUGAGUAUUUUAUUUACUUCUCUGCCCUUGGACGUAGCACAGUGCCUGACACAUAUUAAGUGGUCAAUAAAUAUUUGUCAAAUAAAUGAAUGUUGAAAUGCUUUCUGGGUUCUCUAAGGGAGUUAAUCCUUCCCUCAUUAGUACUCUCAACGUUUGGUUCAAAUAUCUGUGGAAGCAUUUACUUUACUGUAUUGUAAUUGUCUGAUUACCUGUAGCUUUCUCCAAUCCACUAUGAAUUCCUGAGACCCGGGACUGUAAUAUCUUAUUAUGUUCUGAUCUGCUCCAAAACCUAACACAGUGCCUGCUACACUGUAGGUAAAAUGUAUUGAAUAAACAGUAAUCAUCUGUAUUCUGGCAUGCCGUUGUAGGGUUUUGAUAGUAAAGUAUUCUACAAAUGUUGUGAAACAGCUUAUGCCCAGCACAAUGCUAAGUACUAUAGAGAACAUGAGAGAAACUUAAGAUCAAAAUACAAACCCUCAUGAAACUUCCUGAAAAGUGAUCAAAUUAUAAGAAGUUAAUAAAUAAUGAAGCCAGGUGUGGUGGCUCAUGCCUAUAAUCCCAGCACUUGGAAGGCCAAGACAGGAAGACCACUUGAGCCCAGGAGUUUGAGACCAAACUACAUGGUGAGGCUACAUGGUGAGGCCUCAUCUUUACCAAAAAAAAUUAGCAGCCAGGCGCAGUGGCUCACACCUGUAAUCCCAGCACUUUGGGAGGCUGAGGCGGGUGGAUCAUGAGGUCAGGAGUUUGAGACCAGCCUGGCCAAUAUGGUGAAACCCUGUCUCUACUAAAAAUAAAAAAUUAGCUGGGCGUGGUCGCGCGCGCCUGUAGUCCCAGCUGCUUGGGAGGCUGAAGCAGAAGAAUUGCUUGAACCUGGGAGGCGGAGGUUGCAGUGAGCUGAGAUUGCGCCACUGCGCUCCAAGCUGGGCGACAGAGCGAGACUCCAUCUCAAAAAAAAAAAAAAAUUAGCCGGGCGUGGUGGCAUGCGCCUAUGGUCCUAGCCACUAGGGAGGCUGAGGUAGGAGGAUUGCUUGAGCUCAGGAGGUUGAGGCUGUAGUGAGCUAUGAUCAUACCACUGUACUCCAGCCUGGGCAACAGAGCAAGACCCUGUCUCAAAAAUAAAAUAAAAUAAUGAGGAAAAAUUAUAUGUGAUCCAUUACAGAAUUGUCAUAUAGACAAUAAGGGCUAAGAGGUAAGAGAAGAGGCCUGGCGUGGUGGCUCACACCUGUAAUCUCAGCAUUUUGGGAGGCUGAGGUGGGCAGAUCACCUGAGGUCAGGAGUUUGAGAC